rnacentral:rRNA from 1 species
AUUGAACGCUGGCGGAAUGCUUUACACAUGCAAGUCGAACGGUAGAGGGGGCAACCCCUUGAGAGUGGCGAACGGGUGAGUAAUAUAUCGGAACGUGCCCAGUCGUGGGGGAUAACGUAGUGAAAAUUACGCUAAUACCGCAUACGAUCUAAGGAUGAAAGCGGGGGAUCGCAAGACCUCGCGCGACUGGAGCGGCCGAUAUCAGAUUAGGUAGUUGGUAGGGUAAAGGCCUACCAAGGCUACGAUCUGUAGCGGGUCUGAGAGGAUGAUCCGCCACACUGGAACUGAGACACGGUCCAGACUCCUACGGGAGGCAGCAGUGGGGAAUUUUGGACAAUGGGGGCAACCCUGAUCCAGCCAUGCCGCGUGAGUGAAGAAGGCCUUCGGGUUGUAAGCUCUUUCGGCCGGGAAGAAAUCGCAUAAGGCUAAUACCCUGUGUGGAUGACGGUACCGGAAUAAGAAGCACCGGCUAACUACGUG